AUUGAACGCUGGCGGCAUGCUUUACACAUGCAAGUCGAACGGCAGCGCGGGGGCAACCCUGGUGGCGAGUGGCGGACGGGUGAGUAAUGCAUCGGAACGUGCCCUGAAGUGGGGGAUAACGCAGCGAAAGCUACGCUAAUACCGCAUAUUCUGUGAGCAGGAAAGCAGGGGAUCGCAAGACCUUGCGCUUUGGGAGCGGCCGAUGUCGGAUUAGCUAGUUGGUGGGGUAAAGGCCUACCAAGGCGACGAUCCGUAGCGGGUCUGAGAGGAUGAUCCGCCACACUGGGACUGAGACACGGCCCAGACUCCUACGGGAGGCAGCAGUGGGGGAAUUUUGGACAAUGGGCGGAAGCCUGAUCCAGCCAUGCCGCGUGAGUGAAGAAGGCC
rnacentral:rRNA from 1 species